rnacentral:rRNA from 1 species
GGUGAACGCUGGCGGUGCGCCUAAUACAUGCAAGUCGAACGAGACGACUUAAAAGUUUACUUUUAAGUCUGAAAGUGGCGGACGAGCGAGUAACACGUAAGCAUCUGCCCCGUACUCAGGGAUAACUGAUUGAAAGAUCAGCUAAUACCGGAUGGUCCCGAAAGGGUAAAGAUUUAUCGGUACGGGAGGAGCUUGCGGCUUAUCAGUUUGUUGGUGGGGUAAAGGCCUACCAAGACUAUGACGAGUAGCUGGUGUGAGAGCAUGACCAGCCGCGAUGGAACUGAGACACGGUCCAUACUCCUACGGGAGGCAGCAGUAAGGAAUCUUCCGCAAUGGACGAAAGUCUGACGGAGCGACACCGCGUGGUGGAUGAAGGCCUAUGGGUCGUAAACACCUUUUCUAAGGGAAGAAGAUCUGACGGUACCUUAGGAAUAAGCCCCGGCUAAUUACG